GGAGCCUGAGAUAAACAUGCAGGAUUGGGAUAUCAGCAAAUGGGCACGCCAUGAGAAAGUGUCCCGCAAAAUGAUCAGCAGAGAUGAGGAGUUUGCUGCAAGUGCUGGUUGGCUGUGGUUGUGUUCUAUAAGCCAAAUGUCAUAAAAGAGGCUAAGCUGCUCACCUCAACACCAGAGUUGCGUCACUUGGUGCAGUCAGAAGAAAGUCCCCCAGGAGGUGAUCAUGAAGAGGCAAUAAAAAUGGUCUCCCUGUUGUCACUGUUACAUCUCCUUCCCCCGCCACCUGGGGGACCGAAGUCUCCAAAAAUGAGUGCAUGUGAUGAAAUUGAGAGACUUGUAGUCUUUCAUAAGUCAUGCUACAGUUUGGAGGAGCAUCACCGCAACCUGCAGGGUCAGCAGCCGUGCCUCCUCACUGUUUGGCAUCAGAAGAGCAAGACUGAAAGCUUCUACAUUGCCAUGGACAAGCAUCUCAUCCCCUGCCAGGCAAACUUUUCAAAGCACAUUUUCAUUUGUCUUAUGAUGCACUUGUGAAUUUCUACACAUUCCUGCAGACAACAGUGUAUAACAUUGAUGCGGGGAAAAUGAAGCAUCGCCCAGAGAGACUUUAGAGCCAGACUGCUUAACAAGCAGUAGCACUCACACUCCGUGAGUAAGGGGCUAAAACAAUGCUGACCUGUUUCAGAUGUCAGAAACUUUAUCCCAGCUGUCAGCAGUUGAUUUCACAUUU